rnacentral:rRNA from 1 species
UACGGGGGGUGCAAGCGUUGUUCGGAAUUACUGGGCGUAAAGGGUUCGUAGGUGGCUUGCUAAGUCAGACGUGAAAUCCCUCAGCUUAACUGGGGAACUGCGUCUGAUACUGGCGAGCUUGAGUGCAGGAGAGGAACGCAGAAUUCCAGGUGUAGCGGUGAAAUGCGUAGAUAUCUGGAGGAAUACCGGUGGCGAAGGCGGCGUUCUGGACUGCAACUGACACUGAUGAACGAAAGCCAGGGGAGCAAACGGG